rnacentral:rRNA from 1 species
GACGAAGGGGGCUAGCGUUGUUCGGAAUUACUGGGCGUAAAGCGCGUGUAGGCGGUUGUUCAAGUCGGGUGUGAAAGCCUUGAGCUCAACUCAAGAAAUGCACUCGGUACUGGAUGACUAGAGGACCGGAGAGGAUAGUGGAAUUCCCAGUGUAGUGGUGAAAUACGUAGAGAUUGGGAAGAACACCAGUGGCGAAGGCGGCUAUCUGGACGGUUUCUGACGCUAAGACGCGAAAGCGUGGGGAGCAAACCGG